rnacentral:rRNA from 1 species
UUGAAUGCUAGUUGUUGCCCUGCUUGUCAGGGCAGUAAUGCAGCUAACGCAUUAAGCAUUCCGCCUGGGGAGUACGGUCGCAAGAUUAAAACUCAAAGGAAUAGACGGGGACCCGCACAAGCGGUGGAGCAUGUGGUUUAAUUCGAAGAUACGCGAAGAACCUUACCUAGGCUUGACAUUGAUAGAAUCUGCUAGAGAUAGCGGAGUGUCUAGCUUGCUAGACCUUGAAAACAGGUGCUGCACGGCUGUCGUCAGCUCGUGUCGUGAGAUGUUGGGUUAAGUCCCGCAACGAGCGCAACCCUCGUCCUUAGUUGCUAGCAGUUCGGCUGAGCACUCUAAGGAGAAG